UUAGGCCUAAUGCUGAUUGCUUGGAC
rnacentral:piRNA from 1 species